rnacentral:snRNA from 1 species
UUGCUUUGGCAGCACAUAUACUAAAAUUGGAACAAUACAAAGAAGAUUAGCAUGGCCCCUGCACAAGGAUGACACGCAAAUUUGUGAAGCGUUCCAUAUUUUU